CCUACGGGAGGCUGCAGUGAGGAAUAUUGGUCAAUGGACGAGAGGCUGAACCAGCCAUGCCGCGUGCGGGAUGACGGCCCUACGAGUUGUAAACCUCUUUUGUCGGGGAGCAAAGAGCGAGACGCGUCCCGCCUCGAAAGUACCCGGCGAAAAAGGAUCGGCUAACUCCGUGCCAGCAGCCGCGGUAAUACGGAGGAUCCGAGCGUUAUCCGGAUUUAUUGGGUUUAAAGGGUGCGUAGGCGGUUGCAUAAGUUAGAGGUGAAAUGGAGGGGCUCAACCCCGAAACUGCCUGUAAGACUGUUGGACUAGAGAAUAGUUGCAGUAGGCGGAAUGUAUGGUGUAGCGGUGA
rnacentral:rRNA from 1 species